rnacentral:ncRNA from 1 species
UAUAACUACAGGUAGUAGUACACUGUGUACCGGUGAGCAGUGAAUUUACGUUUAAGCGUACUCUAAGUACGUCAUCUCGCUGG